AAUAGAUACCCCGGUAGUCCACGCCGUAAACGAUGAGUGCUAAGUGUUAGGGGGUUUCCGCCCCUUAGUGCUGCGAGCUAACGCAUUAAGCACUCCGCCUGGGGGAGUACGGUCGCAAGACUGAAACUCAAAGGAAUUGACGGGGGCCCGCACAAGCGGUGGAGCAUGUGGUUUAAUUCGAAGCAACGCGAAGAACCUUACCAGGUCUUGACAUCCCGCUGACCGCUAUGGAGACAUAGCCUUCCCUUCGGGGACAGCGGUGACAGGUGGUGCAUGGUUGUCGUCAGCUCGUGUCGUGAGAUGUUGGGUUAAGUCCCGCAACGAGCGCAACCCUUGAGAUUAGUUGCCAUCAUUCAGUUGGGCACUCUAAUCUGACUGCCGGUGAUAAACCGGAGGAAGGUGGGGAUGACGUCAAAUCAUCAUGCCCCUUAUGACCUGGGCUACACACGUGCUACAAGUGGACGGUACAAACGGUUGCCCAACCCGGCGAGGGGGACGCCAAUCCGAAUAAAACCGUUCUCGAGUUCGGAUUGUAGGCUGCAACGUCGUA
rnacentral:rRNA from 1 species